GUGGCUGAGCCUGUCGGCGACGCGCCUGCGUGAGCGCCGGGGCUGAGAAAGCGUUAAGCAGGCUGCGCCCGGAGAAGCCCUGAUUUGGGGUUGAAGGACGCGGGUUCGAUUCCCGCCACCUCCACCA
rnacentral:tRNA from 1 species